rnacentral:rRNA from 1 species
UACGUAGGGUGCAAGCGUUGUCCGGAAUUAUUGGGCGUAAAGAGCUCGUAGGCGGUCUGUCGCGUCUGCUGUGAAACUCAGGGCUUAACCCUGAGCUUGCAGUGGGUACGGGCAGACUAGAGUGGCGGUAGGGAGACUGGAAUUCCGUGGUGUAGACGGUGAAAUGCGCAGAUAGUCAGGAGGAACACCGGUGGGCGAAGGCGGGUCUCUGGGCAGUAAACUGA